GUGUACGUUACAAUAUUUUUCACUGAAAAAAAGAAAAAAAGUAGCCAUUGAAGCAUAUCAAGUAAGGAAGUGACAUCAUCCAAUGUGCACUUUUUUAAAAAGGAAGAUUCCUAAGACUGAAAGGAGAAUAAAUUGGCUCAAACAUUGGCCAAAGCUGUCAUCACUUGUGACCUAUAUUACUGCAAAAUCCUAACGUUUCUGUUCCUGCAUCCAGCCUAAUGAAGUUGACUAUCUGUCCAGGAAGCAGAGAGAUUUUUAUAGCAUAAAUUAGGUUUAUUUCUCCCUUGCUUACCACCUACCAGUGAGUUCCAAAUAUAAGUAAAAUAAUAUUAAAAUCA